AAUCAUCUCACAAGAUUUCAGAUAUUAAUGCUAUACUAUUCUACUCGACUCUAGCCAUCUACUAUAGAGCGAACUAUAGCUCACUGUAACCAAGCUCGUGCCUUUAAAAACACGGUAUUAAACGAUACUUCGGUACGCGACGCAUCUUAUUACUUAAUUCAGUUACUGCCAGUAAAGUUAUCAUCCUAAUUCGUUUUAUUAAUAUGUUACGCUAUUUAAUGUAUAAAAUAAAAAAACGAAAUCGUUUCCUCGCGCGUAAAGUUUACAUGCCAUCGGUAUUCCUUUCACCUCCCGUUACUAAUCAUCAGAUGGAAUGGUUGCUACCCAUGUAUCCUACAACCAACAGCGCUAAUGACUCGAUCAGGUUUUGCGUAUUGUACGACAGCCGAAUCUUUUCCGCCGAUGUCAAAAUCUUUUUUCAAAGACUAUCUUAUAAUGUAAUUUGAAAAUUUUUCUAUAUCUGUCGAUUAAAGAAAAUUCUCAGCAAAUUUGUAGAAUGUUAAUUUGGA
rnacentral:lncRNA from 1 species